AUUGAACGCUGGCGGCAGGCCUAACACAUGCAAGUCGAGCGGAUGAAGGGAGCUUGCCCCUGGAUUCAGCGGCGGACGGGUGAGUAAUGCCUAGGAAUCUGCCUGGUAUUGGGGGAUAACGUCCGUAAACGGGCGCUAAUACCGCAUACGUCCUUAGUGAGAAAGUGGGGGAUCUUCGGACCUCACGCUCUCUGAUGUGCCUAGGUCGGAUUAGCUAGUUGGUGGGGUAAAGGCCUACCAAGGCGACGAUCCGUAACUGGUCUGAGAGGAUGAUCAGUGAAACUGGAACUGAGACACGGACCAGAGUCCUACGGGAGGCAGCAGUGGGGAAUAUUGGACAAUGGGCGAAAGCCUGAUCCAGCAAUGCCGCGUGUGUGAAGAAGGUCUUCGGAUUGUAAAGCACUUUAAGUUGGGAGGAAGGGCAGUAAGUUAAUACCUUGCUGUUUUGACGUUACCAACAGAAUAAGCACCGGCUAACUUCGUG
rnacentral:rRNA from 1 species